AUGGGUGCAGUUCAUCAGAGCGGUGAUUCUGCCGUGAAUAAGACCAUCCGUCCGUUACCAAGCAACGGCUCCACUCGCUCCAUCAUCAGUGCCGGCCCGGGAGACGGGUGCAGAAACGUUGUUAUUGAUGGCUCCGUACACCCGUCUAAUCUCUCGGCUGACACAGAGGGUUUAAAUAACCACGAGAGAAAUGAGGACAGAUGCCUACGACUACGCGUGUGUGCCUGUGCCCCCACUGGCAGAAGAGUCAAUUAAAGUUGAGGAAAUUUGGACGGGAGUUGAAAGUCAAAAGUGACGUGGAUAGAAGCCAAUUACUAUGCAAUGUAUUCCAGAUGCUGAGUUCACCUGUUGCUUCAGUGAGUCCUGAGAGAUAGGAGGUGGUCACGUGGGAACAAGGGUGGCCAGACUGUGACAGCCCACCCGUGCCCACGCAUACCCACUUACUUACACACUCUUCAGAGUGAUUAGGACUUUGGCUUAGAUGUCUAAAACCAUGUGCGGUGAAACUGGACUGGUGAGACUGGCCCACAGGGAAGAAAACCCUUCAUCUUCUACAGAUACUAGUCAACUGCUCAUCUCGACACCUGUCUGUCAGGCCAUCACUGAGGUUAAUGAGAAGGGGAACCGAGCCGAAGCCUUACACACUCUUUUCCCCAGCUAUCCGUCGUCUGCCCGGCACUUUCAUCAACUUGACUUGAGGGAGAGGGCCAUUAAGACAGUGACAGAUGAUUAUGCCGACCAACCGCGAUCUGAGAUUGAUAGAUGUGUGUGUGUGCGUGUGUGCGUGCGCGCGCGCUCAUGGGUUCAUUCAUAAGGAGCCACUGUUGCCGUCUUCAAGGUCAUUGAUUCAUGGCUAACCGUCUUGUUAUGUU